GAUGAACGCUGGCGGCGUGCUUAACACAUGCAAGUCGAACGAUAAAGCCCAGCUUGCUGGGUGGAUUAGUGGCGAACGGGUGAGUAACACGUGAGUAACCUGCCCUUGACUCUGGGAUAAGCCCGGGAAACUGGGUCUAAUACCGGAUAGGAGCGCCUGUCGCAUGACGGGUGUUGGAAAGAUUUUUCGGUCAUGGAUGGACUCGCGGCCUAUCAGCUUGUUGGUGAGGUAAUGGCUCACCAAGGCGACGACGGGUAGCCGGCCUGAGAGGGUGACCGGCCACACUGGGACUGAGACACGGCCCAGACUCCUACGGGAGGCAGCAGUGGGGAAUAUUGCACAAUGGGCGGAAGCCUGAUGCAGCGACGCCGCGUGAGGGAUGACGGCCUUCGGGUUGUAAACCUCUUUCAGUAGGGAAGAAGC
rnacentral:rRNA from 1 species